rnacentral:rRNA from 1 species
UACGUAGGGUGGAAGCGUUAAUCGGGAUUACUGGGCGUAAAGCGUACGCAGGCGGCUAUGCAAGACAGGUGUGAAAUCCCCGGGCUCAACCUGGGAACUGCAUUUGUGACUGCAUGGCUAGAGUUUGUCAGAGGGGGGUGGAAUUCCACGUGUAGCAGUGAAAUGCGUAGAGAUGUGGAGGAACACCGAUGGCGAAGGCAGCCCCCUGGGAUGUGACUGACGCUCAUGUACGAAAGCGUGGGGAGCAAACAGG